UAAUACGUAGGAGGCGAGCGUUAUCCGGAUUCAUUGGGCGUAAAGAGCGCGUAGGCGGCUUAUUAAGUCAGUUGUGAAAUCUCCCGGCUUAACUGGGAGGGGUCAACUGAUACUGGUGGGCUUGAGGGCAGCAGAGGGAGGUGGAAUUCCCGGUGUAGCGGUGAUAUGCGUAGAGAUCGGGAGGAACACCAGUGGCGAAGGCGGCCUCCUGGGCUGUUCCUGACGCUGAGGCGCGAAAGCGUGGGUAGCAAACAGGAUUAGAUACCCUGGUAGUCCACGCCGUAAACGAUGGACACUAGGUAUGGGGAGUAUCGACCCUCUCCGUGCCGAAGUUAACGCCAUAAGUGUCCCGCCUGGGGAGUACGGCCGCAAGGCUA
rnacentral:rRNA from 1 species